CUCGGUCCCACUCCCGCACCAGCAGCCGCACGAACCCUAGCCGCCAUUCCCCUCGAUCCCCAUAGCCUCUCCUGCCUCAUGGAUCCUCGCCGCCGCCUGCUACUCCUACUCCACCACUGCUGCUGCUUCUCCACCACGCUGCCCUUCCACCUCGCGUUCCUUCUAUCCGUUGUAUAUGUUGCCGUCGGCGGCGCCUGGUUCCAGAUCGGGCGCAGGUUAGCAGAGUCCGGUGUUGAGGUGAAGGAGCAUGGGAGAGGGGGCGAUGAGGACAAGCAACUUUCGGCCGUUGCCAUGGUUGAGGCUACAGGAAAGAGGUAGGAAGCCGGAGGGUGAAGGAGCAGCCCGGCCCUCAUGGAGACGCCGCCGCCAGCCGUGGGCCAUUCGCCGUCACUGGCCUCACGCCUCGUCUCCUCUCUCUUCACCACCACAUCCAUGUUGUUUUUUGGAGAAUGGUGCUCCGAUCUGGUCCCUAUGUGCUAAUGGUUUCCUGCUAGGCAACUUCAGGCCUGCAACAUUUACAGGGGAGGAUUGCAGGUGUCGAUACGAUGGAGCAAUUUCUGGUUUUGUGGUUGGAGCAUAGCCUCAUUUUCGCAAGAGUUUGGGUUUCUCAAGAACAAUGGGAUGUUAAUCUUCCAUGCGCAGCGGCGGUGCAUCAAGGUGCAAGGCAGCUGCGACAUGUUCAUAGUACGCUAAAGGAUGAGCUCCUACUUUUGCUGAUGCUAGCUCCUUGCUGCAGAGUCAUUGUGGUGCCUGUUGGGCCUUUGGUGUUGUGGAGUGUCUGCGAGAUCGUUUCUGCAUUCCUCAUGUCAUGGUGAGUGCAUAUGGACGAUCUGUCUACUAUCUGGUCUAUUUUUAAAUAGGCAUGUCGGUCUUUUCUUACAUAAGCAGCCUGCUGUUUCUAUUCCUCACAGAACAUUUCAGUUUCUGUCAAUUCACAUUUAUCUCCAUGUUAUCUUGGUGUAAGGUAGCUUUGAUGAUGUGUUGAGGCGGUCUGCUCAGUGUAAGAACAAAUAGUUGGCCACUCCCAUUUUUAUCUCAUUUCGUAAUCAUCGCAAGCUAUGCCUAUGUCAAUAUCUAAAAGUUUUUGCUAUUUGUUUCUCCUCCUUUAAUCAAUAUUUGUAGGAUUGUUAGUAAGGUUGCUCAUCGUCAAGGAAAGUGCUUUGUGGAUACUUGCAUGACUAAGGAAGAAAUUUGUUAUUUGAAGUAUGCACUAGAGAUAUUGCAAGGUAUUUCUGUUACCAGACGAAGAAAUUUGUUAUUUGAAGUAUGCAUUAGAGAUAUUGCAAGGUAUUUCUGUUACCAGAUUCAUAUCUUUUUUUGGGACCUAUGUACAGAUGAUGAUUCGUAGCUGCAGUUAUUUUUGUCCUAAAGAUACAAGCAAAUUGAAGAUUAGACUUCUGUAUGGAAAUUUAAAUAGUGGUUCCCUGGAAAGCAGUUUAAUUUCUUGCAUUGAUUUCUCUGAUAUAACCACGCCUUUCCUAUUUUGUUAAAGAAGUAAACUAAUUCCUAAACUUACACCACCAGUCAGCAUAGCAUUCAAGCAUGCCACUAGGCCAGGGCAUUCUAGCAAACCUCACUCCCACUAUAGUUUAGUUCUUAGCUAUGCUUGCGACUAUUCUAAUCGACCGGACAAAAAACUAUGGGAGGAAUCAAAGGCAUGCAUCUGACCUCGGGUACAUGCACCAAUUGAAAUAAGAGGUGAUAAUGUUAUCAUAUAGCUAUAUUCGAUUCAUGAGUAACUUAACAACCAACCUGGACGGCAAAAGUUUACUUCACUUGGUAACAUGAGGUGGACACCGAAAGCUUGCUAUCUAAUUUUCUUCUCUGUAGAGGAAAACAAGUAUACCGAUAGUUGGACACUGAAAGUUUUCUAAAAUUAUUUUUAGAGUUGUAUAGUGUAUACAUUUAUAACGUAGAUCCUUACUCAUGUUACACCUUUCUUGUUCUUAUGGCGAAAACAUUAGCAUAUUAACCAUUUCUAUAAUUUUUCUGUUAUUUUCUUUUAAUACAGUAGUGUCCAUGCUUAUAGAUUUCUAUUUAGUGUCAAUCUAGCAUACCCAUGUCACUCCCGUCCCAUUUUAGCUCUGUUGAUGGAUGAUUUCUGCCAUUUAUUUUUAUUCCCAUUUUAUAUAUUCUGAUUAUUGCUUCAUUAUUUAUCAACUGAUGAGGCAUGACUUUUGUGUGCACUUCUUACUGAUGAUGAUCCUGAUGUUAUUUGUUUGAGAAAAGACUGAGACGGCUUGAAGUGCAUAUUUAUCCUUAUUUUGUUCAAUUAUAAUGGGAUGAAGUAACUUAAUUGACCGAUAGUGUUGUUAGUAGUGAUAGACAAUAGGCAAUUUACUAGAGCAGUUCUGUGGGUAUUAGGCAUAGUCUUCUCUGUCUCUAAAACCAGCUUCGCAUGCAAGAUCUUAUCCUAUGCCAAGUUAUUCUGUGGGUAUAUUUUUGAAAUAUUUAUCUUUGUUGUUCCGCUUAGCUACACCCUCCUUAAGUAUUUUUUUUACAGAAUCUAGAAAAACAAAGUGCUUUGCUUCUUUCCUUGCCUGGUUCAAGGUUCCGAGACCACAUGCAGUGUGCGUUGGACAAUGUUGCUGAGGGUCCAGUUUCUCAUUUUUUAGAUUUUGUAGUAGCAGAUAUGUGUAUAAUAUAGAUAACUAAACUGGUGUUUAGGCAUUUUAGUGCAGGACUGCUACUUGCUCGAUUAGUUAGAUGAACUGGUGUUUAGAGAUUUUAGUAUGGAGUGAUGUUUUGGUCUUGAUUGUAGGGCUUCGAGAUGCACCAUGAGGGCUGAAACGAGGCUUAUACCAGGCUACAAAAUUAUUAUGCUUUUGGGAUUUUCCUGAAUUUAGUUAGCAUAAAUACGUCCAGAAUCUCUCAUGCAAUAUGUAAGUCUGUCGGUAACAACACUGAUUUUUCGAGUUUGUUCUGCCAAACAAAGUGUGGAACAUACUUCAUUUUUGCAGUUAAAAGAAGGAAAAGAGAACAUUGGGGGAAAAGGCAGCUGAGCGGAUUCUCUAAGCUUUCUCAAAUGUUUGAAGGAAAAGAUAGUUACAAUCAUUAUUCUCUCGCCUUACUACAUCUUGAUGUUAAUAGGCUUUGGAAGCUGCUACUCCUUUGUGCAUUGGUACAUAGUUAUAGUUUUGAAGGUGUGUACGCAUCAACAUAUACUUCCCACCAUCCUAUUAUAGUUUGUUCUGAUGACAAAAUUGAGCACCCCUUACUUGAGUAAAUUGUGCAACUCUUCCUUGAGUAAAUUAGUAUUGCAGUUACCGAGCCUUUGUGCAUUCCGAUACAGUUCUACUGAAGCUAGUAUUGUACUACUUAUGCCCAUUUUAAACCCAGACCUGAUUUUACAUCAUUUUUGUCCUCAUCCGUUCUCCUUAAUUUUAGUCCAUUUCAGCAAUGCUAUGAUCUGCCACUCUAUAUGAAAAACGACUGAAAUUUCGCUUUUGUGAUUUAGUCAAUCAUCUGUGUUUUGAUUCCUAUUGAUCUCUCCUUUGGCAACUGAUGCCACCCGGAGGGCUGCCAGCCCAAGAUAAGAUCGGUACUAUCCUUCAAUAAAAAAACAGUGCAUGCAGAGAAAUCCGAAAUCCGAAAUAGUAGGAAAGGAGAAAUCUCACCAGUUGAGUACGUGUCUUUGGAAAUGCUUCUCUUGCUUAAAUGAGGAACCGAGGAAGAAAAGGGGAUAAACAAGCACGAUAGAUGUAGUCCCCACCGCUUCAUAUUCUACUCCAGACGAGCCACACACAUAGAAUUGUCUGUGGACUCAGCUAGGUAGCAUAUGGGCCUUUCAAAUACCUAUGCCUCCAUAGCACAACACGGAGAUGGUUCUUUUGCGUGCACAUGGAAAAUAAAAGUUCAGUACAAUCACAACUAAAAAAAUACGUCCUUAACUGGUCUAUACAUUUUAUCCAAACAUGUCCUUAUUUUUUCAAACUCGGAUUUCUCAUGAUGAUAACCAUAUUUUCAACUAAAAAAAUGAUUCCUUAACUGUUGUAUACAUAUUAUACAAGUAUGAUUUUUUUCAAACUCAAAUUUCUCAACAUGAUAAACAUAUUUUCAAUAUAGCAUAAUUUAAUACAUGGGUUUUCUAUUACCAAUAUCGAAUAUGUCCUUGCAAAAUGAAACUAUUUUCAUCGACAACAUGGCUUUAGCGGGUCUCUGCGCCAUUUGGCGCAACGGGUCAACUAAUUGUCAUAAAGAAUAUGAAGUAUCUGUCUUUCUGGGCUCCUCGCAGGUAAAGAGCAUUUCGAGACGUCUGUCCCGAGGUGGCAUGCCGCGGGGGCCUCUCGGGGAUGCUUCGAGCCAUCAGACCCUGCUGGGCGGUCGGGGGGACCGCAGGGCGCGCCUAGGACCACCGUCAUUGGACGGCCUUCGUCGCACAACUACCCGCUCGCAAAGGCAUAGCCAGGCUCACCUGUCAGCAUCCACCAUCAGCGAUCCGGGCUGGUCCAAUCAUGACAGGCAGGGUGUGCGUCAUGCCCGCCUGCACCGGCUCACUGUGAGGGUCUCUCCGGGCGCUCCGAGUCCUCUGAUCUGCCCAGACGGUGUGGACCCAGACAACCCGGCUGGGUGGUCCAUGAUGGGUGUGAAGGAAAUAUGCCCUAGAGGCAAUAAUAAAGUUAUUAUUUGUUUCCUUAUUUCAUGAUAAAUGUUUAUUAUUCAUGCUAGAAUUGUAUUAACCGGAAACAUAA